GCAGGUUCCAUUAUUCUCUUGAUGUGUGUUCUGGGGCUGGAAGAAGCUGGUUCAGUUAUUGAGUGCUGGGUACAGAAGAUUGUCCGUCCAAACUUCAUACCCAAAGAUCUGGUGAUCUUCUUCCAUGGUGUAGACUGCCAAGAACUGAAAGGGUGACUGCAGCAUACAAGAAUCGGCUGCAGAACUUGGGUAUAUACAUACCUCCUCUUCUGUACCCUUCCAACACCCCCACUUCUGCACCCUGAAUGAUGUACUCACUUCACUCACUGCAACAGCUUCACCAUCCUGGAGCCUGGUGUACAAAAAAGAAAGGUUUUGAAAGAAGGCCUGGCUCACCCCCUGCUCUGACCCCAGCAACAGUCUCUGUGAAAAGAGGGCAGAGUGGACUCUUCCCUAAUUGACUACCAAUCUUCCUGAGAAAAGAGCAUAGGCCCAGUACUGCCUUAAACAUUUGAUACAGGUGUCCAGACUGAAGAAAGGGGUACCAAGACCCCUGCGACUCUACAAGGAGCCAGCAAAGAACUUGUUUCAAUUUCUUUUCCUCAGGAGUCACAG